rnacentral:lncRNA from 1 species
UUUUUGCAGUGGUUCAUGUUUUCUCUAUCGGUGGCUGGCCAUGGAGGAUCUCACAGUCUAUAUGCAAUUUAGGGUUUUUCGCAGGUUGCUCGUGAGGUUGCACAUAUGCGAUUUGUGACUAGCUCGAAGAUGUUGGUUGUCUCGCGGUAGUGGUACGAGGAUGUGGGAUAAGGUAGAAUAUGGUGGUGCGUUAUGACAGUGUAGUGGUGAGGAGGGAGAUUUUGGUGACCGGUGAAGCGACGAUGAUGAAGUUGAGGAUAUUGGGAAAAAGAUGAGAUGAUGUGGCAACCACGUCAUUCACUAAUGCUCAUAUGGACACUAUGUUGUUAACGAUUUAGACAUAGUCAAGGAAAAGACUAAAUUGAACAAAAAUUACAAAUAUUGGGACCACUUUGAAC